GCACCAAGGGGAUGGCCCAAGCCAUUCAUGAGGAAUCUGUUCCCAUGAUCCAAAUCCCUCCCACCAGGCCCCACCUCCAACGUUGGAGAUUAAAAUUCAGUAUGAGAUCUGGAGGGGAGAAACGUCCAAACUCUAUCAGAUAAUUUCUUCUGAAUUUUGUCCUUGGAGGUGUGGGAAGAAUGAAUAUUGAAUAUUCAUACUCAACAUGAAUAUUUUGGAAGCUGGGCCUGAAAGUUAAGGUUCACUGAAAGCUAAAAAUGAGAUGAACUCAGUGAAAGUACUGUGGAAAGAGGCACCUGGCUGGAUAUUUGAAUCUUCUUAACCCUGAGCUCUGCUUCAGUCUCAUCUGUUGUGUUCAUGACAUGACUCUCUAAUCACUAUGGGCAAUUGGGAAAAUGGUUAUUUUCAAAAAGAAAUUGACUUGUCUCUUCGUAGUUUAAUGUAGAAGCAGGUAUAGUUUGGUUAUGGUGAAAUCUGGUUCUCAGGUGAAGCGCCAAGUAUGUCACUGAAAGCCCAGUGGAGUUAAGUGUGCAAAGUCAGUCUGAACAUAUGCUGUAAUGGAUUUGACCUCGAAUAGCACUACAAAGAGAAAUUGCAGAUAACCAUCUGAACUGACUUCUGAAGCUUGUAGUUCUGGCUCCUGAGAUACAGAGAGAAAAGUGAGACCAAACAGGUGGGAGCAAACAACUCAGAGAGACCAGAAUGAAUACGAGUCUAACUUUAAAAGUAAAUAAAAUUAAAUAAAAAUGAUUUAUUCUAUAGCUCUUUGUCUUUUAUUGGUUCCCACACAAUGUCCACACAAUAAACAG
rnacentral:lncRNA from 1 species